GACGAACGCUGGCGGCGUGCUUAACACAUGCAAGUCGAACGGAAAGGCCCUGCUUUUGUGGGUUGCUCGAUUGGCGCACGGGUGAGUAACACGUGAGUAACCUGCCCUUGCCUUUGGGAUAUCUUCAGGAAACUGGGGCUAUUACCGCAUAUGAUCUCCUGCUGCAUGUUGUUGGUUGGAAAAUUUCGGCUGUUGGGGAUGGACUCGCGGCUUAUCAGCUUGUUGGUGGGGUAGUUGCUUACCAAGGCUGUGACGGGUAGCCGGCCUGAGAGGGUGACCGGCCACAUUGGGACUGAGAUACGGACCAGAAUCCUACGGGAGGCAGCAGUGGGGAAUAUUGCACAAUGGGCGGAAGUCUGAUGCAGCAACGACGCGUGCGGGAUGACGGCCUUCGGGUUGUAAACAGAUUUCGCCUGUGACGAAGCGUGAGUGACGGUAAUGGGUAAAGAAGCACCGGCUAACUACGUG
rnacentral:rRNA from 1 species